rnacentral:rRNA from 1 species
GACGAACGCUGGCGGCGUGCUUAACACAUGCAAGUCGAACGGGAAGGCCGUGGUUUUGUGGGGUGCUCGGGUGGCGAAAGGAAGAGGAACAAGGGGGUAAUCUGCCGUUGGCUUUGGGCUAUCUACAGGGGACUGGGGCUAGUACCGGCUAGGAGCUCCGGCUGCAUGGGGGGGGUUGGAAAGUUUUGGGGGUUGGGGAUUGACUGGGGGAUUAUGAGCUUGUGGGUGGGGGAGUGGCUGACGGGGGCAUGGACGGGUAGGCGGCCGGGGAGGGUGAGCGGCCACAUUGGGACGGAGAUACGGCCCAGACCCCUACCGGAGGCAGCAGUGGGGAGUAUUGCACAGCGGGCGGAAGCCUGAUGCAACAAAGCCGCGUGCGGGAUGACGGCCUGCGGGUUGUAAACCGCUGUCGCCUGUGACGAAGCGUGAGUGACGGUAAUAGGUAAAGAAGCACCGGCUAACUACGUG